ACCAGCAGUCGGUUUUCAGGAAGUUCUAUUCUAGUGAAAUUCAACAAAUAUUACGUAUACGUCAUAUAAUCUAAUUAUAUUCAAAUGCUGUCUAAUUAAAUUCUCUAAAAAUGUGCGCAAAUGCAGCAAGAUAUUACUCAUUAAUUCCACAGUAUUUUCGGCGUUAAUUUGAACUCUGUGUGUGUGUGUGUGUGAAUCAUGAUUUAAUUCACCAAGAAUUCAAUGUCAACUUUUGAGCAUCUUUUUCAAUUUACAUAACAUGUCGUGAGCUUGCAAUAGAAGCCCACAGACUUGACUUGCACAUUGACAAUAAUGGUUAAGAUAACGAUUACGAUGACGAUUGCGAUUGUGAUUGUCAGAUUUGUCAGAUUGUCAUAUGCCAUUCCAACGCAUAUUGCGGAUAAUGCGUAGAGAGAAUGUGAAAUAAUAAUGUAUGGGGCAAAGAGACUGUGGCGACACCAUGAGGCAGGCAAGACAGGCGUUGGUCGGUAUUCAGAUCGACACCCAAGCAUAGACAUAGACUGUCUGUCCUUCAAAAAAGAAUAAACACACACAAAGACAACGCACGCAAAACUGAAAGCGAAAAUUGCAUGCGUAAGAACAAGAACAAGAACAACAGCAACAACAACGAGAACGAGUGAAUGAAAGAACGAGAAAGCGAUAGCGAGAACAACUGCAGAAAUAUUAGGCGGAUAUGUCUGAUGACGACGACGACGACGAGAACGUGUGCAUCGAAAAUCCGGCUGCGAUGUGUGAAUACAUACAUAUAGUAUGUAGUACAGCACUUGUAAAUAUAUUAAUAUUUAUAGGGUCUUAACAGGCGGCCAAAAUACGACUGCAGUCAACUGACAACUGGGCGUGUUUUAAGGAAAAAGGGGAAAACCUAAAUUAUACAUGCAGCAAUUAAUGGCACAUGGAAGCGAUAUAAUCGUACUUAUAUCCAGAUCGGCGGCCCUAUAACAAUGUGCAUAUAUUCACAAUCAAGUGCAGGCAGCACUCGAGCGAUUGUCAAGUUUAUAUGUAUGUGGAUUCGGGAGACUAAUAGACACACACACACACACAUGCAUACAUAUAGAUAUGUCUACAUUCGCACAUUCAUACAUAGAUUGUAUGUGCAUAUUUUAGAAUGUAAUUGUGCAUCUGGCCUAGACCUAGAAAAGGAAAUUUUGUUGCUAUUAUUAUUUAUACUCAUACUCGCUCACUUGCUCUCUCAUUCUCAUUCUCUCAUUUGUGCAGCGCUCGCGUCAGUUGCUCGCUCACUUAGUACAUUCGUUUUAUUCUUUUUGUCUGCUUCUUCUUCUUCUUGUGCUGCUGCUGCUGGCGUUGUGUGAGCGCAGUUCUCAUUAUUUGUUCUCCUUCCUCGCAAAUUAAAAAUAUGCCUAAGCAAAUAAAAUGCAUGUGAAUAUGUAUGCAAGUGUGUGUACAUAUGUGUGCGUAUGAGUAAACGUGCGUUAGCUGCAAUUACAGGGUGAUUCGCUUCGCUUCGAUUUCAAUUACAAUUUAUUGGCAGCGACAAAACCUUUCGAUUAAGAUUUACAACAUCAAUAACUGUCACUUUCACUAUUUAUCGAUAACACAAAUAACAUGGACUACAUUUUUUUGAGUGUCCGAAUUUCCGCCAUUUUAAGUGUGUCCAUUUUUAGUACUAUUUGACUCUGCCAGCAGUCAAUUGAAUACUGACUGCAGAUUGAGGAGUAAAUUAUUUACAACAACAAAAAUACCACAAUUCAACUUUUACUAAAAAAAAGGCAUUACAGGGUAGAUUGAUAAUUAAAGUGCACCAAUAAUGGCAUUAUCACUUUCUAGUCAAUAAAAACAAAAUCGAGAGUGAAAUUCGAUAUUGUUUGUCGAGAUUGUUGGCCAAACCUGCUAAAAGCACCCGUUGUCGUUGCCAAUAAUCGAAAUCGGCGUUUAGUUUGGUUGUCUUGCUGCACAACUGCAUUGAGAACUGCAAACAAACAAACAGCAGUAGCAACAACAACAACAGCAAUUGUCGAACAACAAGUUAAAGCAACAAUGGCAGCAACAAAUUAAAUUGAAAAUUGUUUUUGCUGCCGAUAGAUAGGCAAGUAGUCACAACCAUAAACGCCAGCAAAAGCGAAAAAGUCAAAAGACCCCUUUACCUCUCCCUCUGCCAACUGUUUUCGGCCAACCCGUUGCAACAUGCAACAGCAACAGCAACAAUUCUAUAAAAUAAAACAAAAUAAACAAUGUGCGCGAGAAACCAAAAAAAAA